GGGAUUGUGGCUUAGUGGUAGAGUGCUUGCCUAGCAUGCAUGAUCCUGGGUUUAAUUCCUCAGUACCA
rnacentral:tRNA from 1 species